AUACGGAGGGUGCGAGCGUUAAUCGGAAUUACUGGGCGUAAAGCGCGCGUAGGCGGAUUAGUAAGUCGGAUGUGAAAGCCCUGGGCUUAACCUGGGAAUUGCAUUCGAAACUGCUUGACUAGAGUAUGGUAGAGGGAAGUGGAAUUUCCGGUGUAGCGGUGAAAUGCGUAGAUAUCGGAAGGAACACCAGUGGCGAAGGCGACUUCCUGGGCCAAUACUGACGCUGAGGUGCGAAAGCGUGGGGAGCAAACAGGAUUAGAAACCCCAGUAGUCC
rnacentral:rRNA from 1 species